rnacentral:rRNA from 1 species
UACGUAGGGGGCGAGCGUUGUCCGGAAUGACUGGGCGUAAAGGGCGCGUAGACGGUUUUUUAAGUCUGGAGUGAAAGUCCUGCUUUCAAGGUGGGAAUUGCUUUGGAGACUGGAAGACUUGAGUGCGGAAGAGGUAAGUGGAAUUCCCAGUGUAGCGGUGAAAUGCGUAGAGAUUGGGAAGAACACCAGUGGCGAAGGCGACUUACUGGGCCGUAACUGACGUUGAGGCGCGAAAGCGUGGGGAGCGAACAGG